UGGGGAAUAUUGCACAAUGGACGGAAGUUUGAUGCAGCGACGCCGCGUGGAGGGUGUAGGCCUUCGGGUUGUGAACUCCUUUUUCUCGCGAAAAAGGCACAGUUUUGGCUGUGUUGAUGGUAGUGGGGGAAGAAGCGCCGGCUAACUACGUGCCAGCAGCCGCGGUAAUACGUAGGGCGCGAGCGUUGUCCGGAUUUAUUGGGCGUAAAGAGCUCGUAGGUGGUUCGUCGCGUCUGUCGUGAAAGCCAGCAGCUUAACUGUUGGUCUGCGGUGGGUACGGGCGGGCUUGAGUGCGGUAGGGGUGACUGGAAUUCCUGGUGUAGCGGUGGAAUGCGCAGAGAUCAGGAGGAACACCGAUGGCGAAGGCAGGUCACUGGGCCGUUACUGACACUGAGGAGCGAAAGCGUGGGGAGCGAACAGG
rnacentral:rRNA from 1 species